rnacentral:rRNA from 1 species
GACGAACGCUGGCGGCGUGCUUAACACAUGCAAGUCGAACGGUGAAGCGCCUUCCUUUUUGGUGGGUGUGGAUGAGUGGCGAACGGGUGAGUAACACGUGAGUAACCUGCCCCCUUCUUCUGGAUAACCGCAUGAAAGUGUGGCUAAUACGGGAUAUUCUGGGUCUGUCGCAUGAUGGGUCUGGGAAAGAUAUUGUUUCGGUGGGGGAUGGGCUCGCGGCCUAUCAGCUUGUUGGUGGGGUGAUGGCCUACCAAGGCGGUGACGGGUAGCCGGCCUGAGAGGGUGGACGGUCACACUGGGAAUGAGACCCGGGCCAGACUCCUACGGGGGGCAGCCGUGGGGAAUAUUGCACAAUGGGCGCAAGCCUGAUGCAGCGACGCCGCGUGAGGGAUGGAGGCCUUCGGGUUGUGAACCUCUUUCGCCAGUGAAGCAGGCCUGCCUCGUUUGUGGGUGGGUUGACGGUAGCUGGAUAAGAAGCGCCGGCUAACUACGUG